rnacentral:rRNA from 1 species
AACGAACGCUGGCGGCAGGCCUAACACAUGCAAGCCGAACGUGAAGCCACCUUCGGGUAGCGGAAAGUGGCAGACGGGUGAGUAACGCGUGGGAACGUGCCUUUCGGUUCGGAAUAACCCAGGGAAACUUGGGCUAAUACCGGAUACGCCCUACGGGGGAAAGAUUCAUUGCCGAAAGAUCGGCCCGCGUCGGAUUAGCUAGUUGGUGGGGUAAUGGCCUACCAAGGCGACGAUCCGUAGCUGGUCUGAGAGGAUGAUCAGCCACACUGGGACUGAGACACGGCCCAGACUCCUACGGGAGGCAGCAGUGGGGAAUAUUGCACAAUGGGCGAAAGCCUGAUGCAGCCAUGCCGCGUGGGUGAAGAAGGCCCUAGGGUUGUAAACCCCUUUCAGCGGGGAAGAUAAUGACGGUACCCGCAGAAGAAGUCCCGGCUAACUCCGUGCCAGCCGCCGCAGUAA